rnacentral:rRNA from 1 species
AUUGAACGCUGGCGGCAGGCCUAACACAUGCAAGUCGAGCGAGCGGCGGACGGGUGAGUAAUGUAUGGGGACUGCCCGAUAGAGGGGGAUAACUACUGGAAACGGUGGCUAAUACCGCAUACUAUCGGAUAACCCAUAUGGGAUUAGCUAGUAGGUGGGGGAAAGGCUCACGUAGGCGACGAUCUCUAGCUGGUAUGAGGAGAUGAUCAGCCACACUGGGACGUAGACACGGCCCAUACUCGUGCGGAGGCAGCAGUGGUGAAGAGGGCACAAUGGGCGCAAGCCUGAUGCAGCCAUGCCGCGUGUAUGAAGAAGGCCUUAGGGUUGUAAAGUACUUUCAGCGGGGAGGCGUUACCCGCAGAAGAAGCCCCGGCGAACUCCGUGCCAGCAGCCGCGGUAAUAC